rnacentral:lncRNA from 1 species
CGCGGACCAAGAUCGAGUUGCCAAGUCACGAGAAACUCCUACGAAAACCCUAAACAAUUAGAUCUGAAACGAAAUAGAAAAUUAAAAGAUUAGAUUUUUGAAUUUUCAGAUCUGAAAUAAAAUCCCCAAAACAGUAAAGAAUCAAAUAGAGAAUAGAAAUAAGUGUUAAUAAGGAAUCUUGAAACCCUAGAAGAGAUUGCGAUUCUGCCCAAUUGAACA